GUGGGGAAUAUUGGACAAUGUGCGAAAGCCUGAUCCAGCCAUGCCGCGUGUGUGAAGAAGGUCUUCGGAUUGUAAAGCACUUUAAGUUGGGAGGAAGGGUAGUAACCUAAUACGUUGCUACUUUGACGUUACCGACAGAAUAAGCACCGGCUAACUUCGUGCCAGCAGCCGCGGUAAUACGAAGGGUGCAAGCGUUAAUCGGAAUUACUGGGCGUAAAGCGCGCGUAGGUGGUUCAGUAAGUUGGAAGUGAAAUCCCCGGGCUCAACCUGGGAACUGCUUUCAAAACUGCUGAGCUAGAGUACGGUAGAGGGUGGUGGAAUUUCCUGUGUAGCGGUGAAAUGCGUAGAUAUAGGAAGGAACACCAGUGGCGAAGGCGACCACCUGGACUGAUACUGACACUGAGGUGCGAAAGCGUGGGGAGCAAACAGGAUUAGAUACCCCAGUAGUCC
rnacentral:rRNA from 1 species